rnacentral:rRNA from 1 species
UACAGAGGUCUCGAGCGUUAGGCGGAAUCACUGGGCUUAAAGCGUGUGUAGGCGGAUGCCUAAGUACCUUGUGAAAUCCCACGGCUUAACCGUGGAACUGCUUGGUAUACUGGGUGUCUUGAGCCACUCAGGGGCGAGCGGAACAAAUGGUGGAGCGGUGAAAUGCGUAGAUAUCACUUGGAACGCCAAAGGUGAAAACAGUCUGCUGGGGAUCUGCUGACGCUGAGACACGAAAGUCAGGGGAGCGAACGGG